rnacentral:rRNA from 1 species
GCUGGAAUCGCUAGUAAUCGCGGAUCAGAAUGCCGCGGUGAAUACGUUCCCGGGUCUUGUACACACCGCCCGUCACACCAUGGGAGUCGGAAAUGCCCGAAGUCUGUGACCUAACCGUAAGGAAGGAGCAGCCGAAGGCAGGUCGGAUGACUGGGGUGAAGUCGUAACAAGGUAUC